rnacentral:rRNA from 1 species
GGAGAUUAUGAAGUUGGGACGCUAGUCCUGAUGGAGUCGUCCUUGAAAUACCACCCUUGUAGUUUUGAUGUUCUAACCUAGACCCCUAAUCGGGGUUAGGGACAGUGCCUGGUGGGUAGUUUGACUGGGGCGGUCUCCUCCCAAAGAGUAACGGAGGAGCACGAAGGUUGGCUAAGUACGGUCGGACAUCGUACGGUUAGUGCAAUGGCAUAAGCCAGCUUAACUGCGAGACAUACACGUCGAGCAGGUACGAAAGUAGGUCAUAGUGAUCCGGUGGUUCUGAAUGGAAGGGCCAUCGCUCAACGGAUAAAAGGUACUCCGGGGAUAAC